UACAGAGGGUGCGAGCGUUAAUCGGAAUUACUGGGCGUAAAGCGUGCGUAGGUGGCCUGUUAAGUCAGGUGUGAAAACCCAGGGCUCAACCUUGGAAUUGCAUUUGAAACUAACAAGCUAGAGUUUAGGAGAGGGGAGUGGAAUUUCCGGUGUAGCGGUGAAAUGCGUAGAUAUCGGAAGGAACACCAGUGGCGAAGGCGGCUCUCUGGACUGAUACUGACACUGAGGUACGAAAGCGUGGGGAGCAAACAGG
rnacentral:rRNA from 1 species